rnacentral:lncRNA from 1 species
GUUUUUAGAACACCUUUUAUUGAUUAAGCAGUUAACAGCUUCAAGCUGUAAUUAUUAAUAGCGGGUAUCAGCUCUCACAAUAUAUUUACCUAUUUCUGCAGCCAGACAGACACAUGCACAGUCAUUCACAGCUGCCUGGUUGCAGCUGGGAUCCCAAUACCAGCUGGAUACUUGAAAGCAGAGGAUCAGACCAUCAUCAUGCCAAUGGCUUUGCAAGUCCGUAAAGAGCGAUCACAGACGCUGCCCAACCUUUCCAGCAUGUGAGAAGAGUGGAUCUUUUUUUGCUUCAGUGUAUCAUGCUGAGGAGGAACAGUCAUUCCACAUGUUUUUCCUUCCUCUUGAACACUGAGGUUUUGACUGUACUGGCUGCCAACAGAGCUGAGGCUGAUAUCCAUUACUACAGUCCAAAGAAUUCCAUAGCAAUUAUUCCAUAACAGACCAACUGUACUGAAAGCAAGCUGUAAGGCAACUUGUGAGAAUAGUCACUGAAAGCUAUUCACCAGUCAAAUUACAGGUGCAUUUGCUUGCUCGGUAGUGAUGUGUUUAGUGUGUACUUUAUAUGGUGUUAAUGUCUCUAACACCAUACUUAGAAGUGAAAAUAUUACAGUUAUUGGAAUUUAUUUUGGAUAUUUGAUUGCUAAAGCAAAAAUGGCAGUGCUUUGUGACCAGUGAUGUUUAUUAUAUUGCAUUUGUCUUUUUUGAAUGUUGCUGAAUAAGUCACUGCACUUUUAAUAAGUGACCAGGAUUUUUAUUUGGUGCACAGAAACUGAUUAAUUUAAAUGUAUUCCCAGCUCGCAGUUGGGAACUUGUGAUGGACUUUAAAGCUAAUGUUUUACUAUAACAAAAUGUCUAGGUGUCUUCAACAGCUGUAAUCAAAUAUAUUUUUAAUAUUACCCUUCAGUAACUUGCAUUACCAAUGAAACUAGGUAAACUGUGUCGGUUACCCUAAAGUGCAGGGAUACAAGUUUGCUGAUAUACUGUAAAAGAAUAAAAAUUAAUUUGUAUUUUGAUUAAGAUUGUAA